rnacentral:rRNA from 1 species
GACGAGCGCUGGCGGCGUGCUUAACACAUGCAAGUCGAACGGUGAACGAGGGAGCUUGCUCCCUCCGGAUCAGUGGCGAACGGGUGAGUAACACGUGAGCAAUCUGCCCCGAACUCUGGGAUAAGCGUUGGAAACGACGUCUAAUACCGGAUACGACGCGGGAGGGCAUCCUCUCCGCGUGGAAAGAACUUCGGUUCGGGAUGAGCUCGCGGCCUAUCAGCUUGUUGGUGAGGUAACGGCUCACCAAGGCGACGACGGGUAGCCGGCCUGAGAGGGUGACCGGCCACACUGGGACUGAGACACGGCCCAGACCCCUACGGGAGGCAGCAGUGGGGAAUAUUGCACAAUGGGCGCAAGCCUGAUGCAGCAACGCCGCGUGAGGGACGACGGCCUUCGGGUUGUAAACCUCUUUUAGCAGGGAAGAAGCGAAAGUGACGGUACCUGCAGAAAAAGCACCGGCUAACUACGUG